rnacentral:rRNA from 1 species
UACGGAGGGGGCUAGCGUUGUUCGGAAUUACUGGGCGUAAAGCGCACGUAGGCGGCUUUGUAAGUUAGAGGUGAAAGCCCAGGGCUCAACCCUGGAAUUGCCUUUAAGACUGCAUCGCUAGAAUUGUGGAGAGGUAAGUGGAAUUCCGAGUGUAGAGGUGAAAUUCGUAGAUAUUCGGAAGAACGCCAGUGGCGAAGGCGACUUACUGGACACAUAUUGACGCUGAGGUGCGAAAGCGUGGGGAGCAAACAGG